AGAUUAAGUUAUUAAGGGCGCACGGUGGAUGCCUUGGCACUAGAAGCUGAUGAAGGACGUUACUAACGACGAUAUGCUUUGGGGAGCUGUAAGUAAGCUGUGAUCCAGAGAUUUCCGAAUGGGGGAA
rnacentral:rRNA from 1 species